AAGCAUCUAAGCGGGAAGCCCCCUUCAAGAUGAGACAUCCCCGAGACCUAGAGUCUCCUAAAGGGCCCAGCGAGACCAGCUGGUGGAUAGGCACGGUGUGGAAGCGCUGCAAGGCGUUGAGCUAACGUGUACUAAUGGCCCGUGAGGCUUGACCCUAUAACACCCAAGGGGU
rnacentral:rRNA from 1 species